UACGUAGGGUGCAAGCGUUGUCCGGAAUUAUUGGGCGUAAAGAGCUCGUAGGCGGUCUGUCGCGUCGGAUGUGAAAACCCAGGGCUCAACCCUGGGCCUGCAUUCGAUACGGGCAGACUAGAGUUCGGUAGGGGAGACUGGAAUUCCUGGUGUAGCGGUGAAAUGCGCAGAUAUCAGGAGGAACACCGGUGGCGAAGGCGGGUCUCUGGGCCGAUACUGACGCUGAGGCACGAAAGCGUGGGGAGCAAACAGG
rnacentral:rRNA from 1 species